rnacentral:ncRNA from 2 species
GGGUGGGGAUUUGUUGCAUUAC